rnacentral:rRNA from 1 species
GGACGGGUUAGUAACGCGUGGGAACGUACCCAAAGGUAGGGAAUAGCCACUGGAAACGGUGAGUAAUACCCUAUGUGCCCUUCGGGGGAAAGAUUUAUCGCCUUUGGAUCGGCCCGCGUUAGAUUAGAUAGUUGGUGGGGUAACGGCCUACCAAGUCUACGAUCUAUAGCUGGUUUUAGAGGAUGAUCAGCAACACUGGGACUGAGACACGGCCCAGACUCCUACGGGAGGCAGCAGUGGGGAAUCUUGGACAAUGGGGGCAACCCUGAUCCAGCCAUGCCGCGUGAGUGAUGAAGGCCUUAGGGUCGUAAAGCUCUUUCGCCUGUGAAGAUAAUGACUGUAGCAGGUAAAGAAACCCCGGCUAACUCCGUGCCAGCAGCCGCGGUAAUACGGAGGGGGUUAGCGUUGUUCGGAAUUACUGGGCGUAAAGCGCGCGUAGGCGGACUGGAAAGUUGGGGGUGAAAUCCCAGGGCUCAACCCUGGAACUGCCUCCAAAACUAU